rnacentral:lncRNA from 1 species
AUGAGGAACAAGGUGAGAGUUAACGAAGGGCGAACCUACACUGGGUGCAGAGAGAAGGAGAGGCAGGUGGAUGAGGAGUUGCAUCUGGUGAAGAGAAAGCCGUGUGUAAAGAGGCAGACAUCCCUGGGGUCCAGGGCGCUGUCAGAGAGCCUAGGCAAGCCCCAGCCUCCUCAAGGCUUCUCUCUCUUCUUGCAGGUCGGCCUUCUCAAGCCUCAGCCCUUCCCAGGAUGGGGAAGACAAGACCAAGUUUCAGUAGCGACGAGAGAGGUCGGAUGAUCCUGUCUGAGAGAUGAAGAAAUGCAUGUAAAUCCUAGGUUUGAACCCAGGUAUUGCAGGGACAGCCUGAAGGGAAGGUGUCCUUCGGAAAGCCCUCCUGUACCGGUGUCUCCCUCUCAGGAAAGUGCAUCACAGUCUAAAAGUGAUGAUAACGUGGUUGGUCACUGCACUUCAAAAUCAAUAACUGCCUUUCUCUUUUUCCUCACUGGACCGAAGCAAUUCACUUAAGCAGCCUGGGCCACAGUUCAUGACUAAGGAUGACACAGUUAUCUAAAUGCCGCAGUUUGACCUGCUGCUUUAGCGGUCUCAUCUGGGCGGGGAGAUGGUUGCUUGGACACAUGUUGGUUGCUUCUGUCCAGGGCUGACAAGAAAGCCCUAAAAGGUGUAGAUGGGGAGGGGGUUGGGGGCUAUGACAGCAAAGAGCAGGAGUUCCCAGCUGUUGAUGGAGCGGGGAAGGGCUGGUGGGCAAAAAACAAUCCCUCUGGCAGAGAAGGUGAGUUCGGGGUGUGUGUAGACGGCGGCCACUCAAACUAGGCGCUGGUGGAGCUCUAAGUUGUCAUGGUGUUUUUGGAGGACACGUUGGUCAUCUACAAGUUAGAGUCAGACUGGAACACGUGCAGACCCUGUGAUUCAGCCGUUCAAGGUCGCGGAAAUGGCCCUUGGAAGUGCUCACACCAAGCGAAGGAUGCUCUUUGCUUUACUCUCUGGAUGACCAUGAAGAGAUCUGCUGGGUGCAAUGAGAAGUACUGGCACCAAACAGUAAUGUAACUGCAUUGGUUUCGCUGCCGUCCACCGCUUCCUGCCGUCCCGUCUGCUUGUCUUCGUAAUGCCAAGUCUACCUUCCAUCAAGUGGGUGUUGGUAUCAAUGGUGCUUCGCAUUUUAGGAGCCGUCCAUCUUUGAGGAUGCGGCCGUGGCCUCGCCGAGGAGGAGCUGGGGCUGCUGGGCCCCGCCCGGAGGAGACUGUACCCGGAAGUGAUGCUGGAGACCUUCUGGAACGUGGUCUCUGUGGGCGAGGGGGACCUCUAGGGCAACCACCUCUCAAGCCUGGUAACAUAGCCCGUUUGGGACAAGACACAGAAACUCCAAGACAGGCACAUCCAGGUGAGAACCACGGAGCCUGGAGUCCUGGCCAGGCAGCCAGGGGUGAGCUUGCCACGCACAGGCCGAUCCCCACCCUGACCUUGACUGUGGAUACGGCAGGUACCACAGUAGGUGACUGUUGUGCGGCCUCAUUUCUCUGACUCAGUCCUGACCUUCUCGUCGUUCCGUCACGCUUUCCAGAGAGUGACAGACCCAGAGCGGGAGAGGGGGUCUCUGGACUUUCUCCCGUUGAUAGUAAGAGACAGGCAGUGGAAGACAAGCAAGCCUGGGGCAGAGAGACUCUUCCAGAAGGUUGAGAGGUCACGGAUUUCUCACUUAACUUGGGUCCUGCAAGUUCGUGUCUAGAAACGGGUUCCUGUUACCUCAGCCUUAAAAGAUAAAAAUAGCCGAAAAGAAUAUCGGAGAGCAGGGACACAUUUUUAAAACCAUGUGGAGGGAGCUCUGAGGUAAAUAUGACAAUGUACUGACUCAGCAUCAGUGACAGGGAUGCACUGAGAUUUUUACGUCUCCAGACCUCAUCCCUGUCACCUGGAUUCCUGUGGCAUAUGCUCGCAGGAGCCACAGACGGAGCAUUUUGCAGGAUUUGGUGCUUUGCUCCCAUCCCAGGUUCAGAUCAUACGUACUCAGAAUCAGCGUAACCCUGGGGGGCAGUGUGGUGAGAGUGCCCACCAGGUGUGGGCUCUAAAACCAGACCAGUGUGCUGGGAUCCCGGCACCCCGCUUCCUCACUGCUCCAUGGAGCAGCGUAACUAGGCCACAUACCGUCUCUGUGCCCAGGUUUCCCCCUCUGUAACAUGAGGGUUAUAAUGAAUCCCACCUCCACGGUAUUCGGAGGGUGAAAUAAGUUCAUGUAUGUACCUCUGCGGCACCUGGGAAGUAUUAUAAUAGUGUCAUAUCAUCAUCAUCGACAUCAGCAUUAUUAAGUAAAGAAGUAAAUUUUUAGGUGUAAAAUACUGUUAAGAAUUUUUCUUUUUUCUGGGCAGUUCUAUGAUGACACAUAGUCUGCUACUAAUAGGAUCCUAUUAACAUUUAGCCUCAAAGCUUAUUAGCAGGAGCCUCUUCCUGGGAGUUCCCUUCGUGGCUCAGCAGUUAAUGAACCCAACGAGGAUCCAUGAGGAUGCGGGUUCGAUCCCUGGCCUCACUCUCUGGGUUAAGGAUCUGGCAUUGCUGUGAGAUGUGGUGUAGGCUGGCAGCUGUAGCUCCGAUUAGACCCUUAGCCUGGAAACCUCCAUAUGCCACAGGUACAGCCCUAAAAAGCAAAAAAAAAAAAAGCCUCUUUUUUUGGGGAGGGGGUCUUUUUUUUGUCUUUUUCUAGGGUUGCUCCCGUGGCAUAUGGAGUUCCCAGGCUAGGGGUCUAAUCAGAGCUGUAGCCACUGGCCUACACCACAGCCACAGCAAUGCCAGAUCCUCAACCCACUGAGCGAGGCCAGGGAUUGAACCUGUGUCCUCAUGGAUACUAGUCAGAUUCAUUUCUGCUGAGUCAUGAGGGGAACUCCCCCAGAGUUCAAAACUUUUAAAUCUUUAAGGUGCUCUGUGUCCGUGCAGACAUUUAAAUGGUGUAUGUAGGACUUCCUUGGUGAGACUCUUCAUUCGUUGAUGUACAUAAAAAGAGAAGGAAGUGUUCUGGGUGCUGUGCAUGUGCGAAAACGUUACUGGAGCGCAGUCUUCGGACCUAAGAAAUCUCGUUCAGCAGAGAAACCAUAAUGUGUAGUGAGAGAGUUUACUGCACACUUUAAAUGCAAUUUUUAAAAUGGUAUCCUACAGAAAGUCGUACUAAAUUAGGUAGAACUAACAUUUACUGAAGUGAGUAACCACUUAAUAGAAGGCUAGUGAUCAUUGUCUAAAGCAGACACCACUGUUUUUAGCAGGCUUGUUUAAUAGUAGGUUUUCAGGAGUUCCCAUCAUGGCGCAGUGGUUAACGAAUCCGACUAGGAACCAUGAGGUAGCGGGUUCAAUCCCUGGCCUCGCAAAGGAUCUGGCGUUGCCAUGAGCUGUGGUGUGGGUCGCAGCCGUGGCUCAGAUCCCUCGUUGCUGUGGCUCUGGCGUAGGCCAGUGACUGCAGCUCCAAUUGGACCCCUAGCCUGGGAACCUCCAUAUGCCUCAGGAGCAGCUCAAGAAAAGGCAAAAAGACGCCCCCCCCAAAAAAAGGGUUUUUAGAAUGUGCUCAUUUUGUCAAGUUCCUACCAAAAUUGUGAUGCAGUUUGGGAUUAUUGUUGGAUUUACAAUAUAUUUAUUCACCUUUAAUAAUAUCUUUUUUGUGUCUUAUUUACAUAGGCUUCUUCAUUUGGAUUAUGUUUUAGUUUUUCUUACAUGACAUUUUCAUACUAGUUACAGCUUGUAUAUGAAACAACCAUUCAAAUACAAAUAAAACCAUCCCUGAAUGUUACUUUCUUACUGAU